rnacentral:rRNA from 1 species
CUUANCUGGGCUUGACAUCUAUUUGCAACACUCUGAAAGGGGUGCCUCCUUCGGGACAGAUAGACAGAUGCUGCAUGGCUGUCGUCAGCUCGUGUCGUGAGAUGUUGGGUUAAGUCCCGCAACGAGCGCAACCCUUGUCCUUAGUUGCAUAUCUAAGGAGACUGCCGGUACAAAACCGGAGGAAGGUGGGGAUGACGUCAAGUCAGCAUGGCUCUUACGUCCAGGGCUACACACACGCUACAAUGGACAGUACAAUGAGAAGCCACCUCGCGAGAGGGAGCGGACCUCGUAAAGCUGUCCUCAGUUCAAAUUGCACUCUGCAACUCGAGUGCAUGAAGGUGGAGUUGCUA